UACAGAGGGUGCAAGCGUUAAUCGGAAUUACUGGGCGUAAAGCGUGCGUAGACGGUUAUGUAAGUCAGAUGUGAAAGCCCAGGGCUCAACCUUGGAAUUGCAUUUGAGACUGCAUAGCUAGGGUGCGGAAGAGGGAAGCGGAAUUCCCGGUGUAGCGGUGAAAUGCGUAGAGAUCGGGAGGAACACCAGUGGCGAAGGCGGCUACCUGGACCAGCACUGACACUCAGGCACGAAAGCGUGGGGAGCAAACAGG
rnacentral:rRNA from 1 species